rnacentral:rRNA from 1 species
UACGUAGGGGGCAAGCGUUAAUCGGAAUUACUGGGCGUAAAGCGUGCGCAGGCGGUUUUGUAAGUCUGUCGUGAAAUCCCCGGGCUCAACCUGGGAAUUGCGAUGGAGACUGCAAGGCUAGAAUCUGGCAGAGGGGGUAGAAUUCCACGUGUGAGCAGUGAAAUGCGUAGAGAUGUGGAGGAACACCGAUGGCGAAGGCAGCCCCCUGGGUCAAGAUUGACGCUCAUGCACGAAAGCGUGGGGAGCAAACAGG